UACGUAGGGGGCUAGCGUUGUCCGGAAUCAUUGGGCGUAAAGAGCGUGUAGGCGGCCAUACAGGUCCGUUGUGAAAACUGGAGGCUCAACUUCCAGACGUCGACGGAAACCGUGUGGCUAGAGUCCGGAAGAGGAGAGUGGAAUUCCUGGUGUAGCGGUGAAAUGCGCAGAUAUCAGGAAGAACACCAAUGGCGAAGGCAGCUCUCUGGGACGGUACUGACGCUGAGACGCGAAAGCGUGGGGAGCGAACAGG
rnacentral:rRNA from 1 species